AUCCUCAGAGCGGGAGGCUCAAGAAAAACAAAACAUCGAUAUCUGUCUGUACACUGCCGACAUGUUGUAUUGUUGGCUAGCUUACUUUAAGUAAAAACAGGAAACAAUGAGUAUUAGCACUCUUAAAAUAAAGCCAAAAAUACAAUAAUUUUGCACCAAAUUAUUUUUCACCAGGAAGUGGCUGAAUGCUGUUUAAAAAUAAAUUUAUAUUUUUGACCUACUAUAUGGUCUGAUGUCACUUUGGAUUUCCACUAUCCAUUAUCUUGAGGUUAUCCAUAAAUCUCAGAGUAGUAAAAUUACCAAAAUUUCUCAGUUAAUCAUUGGUUAUACAGCUUGUACAGUGUUGGAACUGAUCACCCCUCAAAAUGGCGCUAACCCCCAUAUAGUCCCCUAUAUAGGGAUUAGAGAUCCAUGUCCGACACAGCCUAAGAUUGUCUUGAUAUAGUGAUCCGAAAUAUGAAAAAUGGCUCAUCUUACCCCACUCUCCCCUAUUGUUCAAUUCUUCUCUCUCCCUUUUUUUUUAACUUUAACUGGCAAAAUAGUUGGUGUGUAUCUGGUGGAAGAGGAAAAUAGAUCCUAAAAUGUGCGUGACCGAAACUAAAAGUGUCCAAAUGGCACAGAAAUGGAGGCCAAUGUUCGUCGUAUCCGCUCCUUUAACUGACUGAUGCCUGUCAGUCAUUACCGAGGGCCGCGUUUCUUCACAUCUAGCUACUAGCCGGAAGUUCAUCAACAAGCUAUCCCCAAACGGCCGGAUUAUUUAAGGUAAUAACAGCAUUUCUAAUAAAGUAAGCACGUUUUUUAAAGUCUGUUGUAGUUUUAGCUUGGAUUAUUUACUGUUAUUUAUCAGCUGUAACUCCCUGAAGCUGAAAGUGUGUAUUUUCUGCCUGUAAUUGUUUGUAACAGGAAACAUCUCCACAGGUCUUCACCCUCUCCGGAAACCACGACCCGCUGGCCUCCACACCUAAAGUAAGUUGAAUUAACUACUUCUGCUGGCGUGUUUUGGUGUUUUUAGUUGGUGUGUUGGCUCUUAUUUUUCUGGCUAAACUUAAAUUCAUAUUUGCACUAAUAUUAGUGAUAAAUCUGUGUAUUUGGUUAACAGGCUUCAGUUUGAUGUUUGGUUUGGAGAUAAAUUGGAGAAGUGAUGGUUGUGUGAUAUGGAGGACCAAAGCGGACCCAUGCAUAUGAACCUUUUUUCUGUUUUUCCUCUGUAAAUAUGUUGUUUUCUUAAAUGUUGUUUUUAUUUCCUACAUACUGUUGUGUUAGAAAAGAAAUUUAGGCCUAUUUUCACGUUUUCACUUUUGCAACUUCAGAUUACCAUCAUAUCUUGACAUCUUGGUGUCUUCCCAGUACUAGUCUGGUGGUCUAAUGCUGCGUUCCAGUUGUACUUGGAAGGCCGAAUUUCUGAGCUACGGGUCAGAAAUUCACCUGGAACACCCCCUUGAAGUUAGAUUUCUGACUUGACGACAACGUACACAACGACAAUGACAGUAAAAGCUCUUGUAACGUAUUAUUUAUUCGCACAAGUGGUAUAUGUUGUACUGCCCAACAUCUAACUGUGAACAUGGUGCUAUGGUAUUUGUACGAGUAAAAUAUUGCGCUAUGCAUUGUUUACAACUGAUAAAGCUAACAACAACUAACAACAGUUGACGACUAUUGGCUAACGACAGCUGACAGUAGGCGUCCAUCUUUGUUUUCCGACUUGUUUACUGGAGUGCCGUCCACUUGGGUGUAACAUCAUUCCCAGCUCCGGUAUCCAACUUCCGAGGUAACUGGAACGCAGCAUUAUUGUGGUACUGUGAUGGUGAAAUUGCCUCAUUUCUAGUGUAUGUCUACCUGUUGGUUGUUGCUUUUAUAUUGGUUUUCUUUUGCUCACUGCUUGCCGGGUUGUUAGUUAAAGCUUUGCAUAUCAGCCUUCGAGAUUUAGUCUCUACCAUGGAACCAAUUUGCAUGAAAUACCCCCUCUUUGUGUGAACAUGUGAUGGAAAGUUAAUCCCUACCUGUGACACACACACUUGCAUUAAGCUCAGUGUUACAGAGAUUCUUCAGAUCUAAAGUGACGCAUUUUUGUGCCUUGCUGCUUUGUCAUUUUUCAUGCAUCAUGUCUGUUGUCCUCACGCUCUGUGUUUUAUGCUGCUGCUGUUCAGACUUUUCGCAAACUGUAAUCCUACAUCUGUCCGCUCUUGCUUCUCAAUGCUCUGCUUCCAGCUGUGAUUUUUUGUUUUGUUUUAAAUGUUCUGGCUGCUGCUUGUGUGUCUCACUGCUGUUUCUGCACACCGGCUUCAUAGCUGGGUGAAGCUACCUGCUGAUUUUUUGCAUGAUAAAAAAUGUUGCCUAUGAAGUUUCUUAAACUGCCAUUGCAUAUUUGAUAAGCCUGUCCACCAAAGCAUGCUUCAAGUGUCUUGAA